rnacentral:rRNA from 1 species
AUUGAACGCUGGCGGCAUGCCUAACACAUGCAAGUCGAACGGGUUGUAGCAAUACAACUAGUGGCGGACGGGUGAGGAAUACAUAGGAAUUUGCCUUUAGGUGGGGGAUAGUCCGGGGAAACUCGGUUUAAUACCGCAUGAUGUCGCAAGACCAAAGCAGGGGAUCGCAAGACCUUGCGCCUUUAGAGAAGCCUAUGUCGGAUUAGCUAGUUGGUAGGGUAAUGGCCUACCAAGGCGACGAUCCGUAACUGGUCUGAGAGGACGACCAGUCACACCGGAACUGAGACACGGUCCGGACUCCUACGGGAGGCAGCAGUGGGGAAUAUUGGACAAUGGGCGAAAGCCUGAUCCAGCGACGCCGCGUGGGUGAAGAAGGCCUGCGGGUUGUAAAGCCCUUUCGGUGGGGAAGAAAAGCCUCGAGUUAAUACCUCGGGGUCUUGACGUAACCCAUAGAAGAAGCACCGGCUAACUCUGUGCCAGCCGCCGCGGUAAU